UACGUAGGUGGCAAGCGUUGUCCGGAAUUAUUGGGCGUAAAGCGCGCGCAGGUGGUUUCUUAAGUCUGAUGUGAAAGCCCACGGCUCAACCGUGGAGGGUCAUUGGAAACUGGGGAACUUGAGUGCAGGAGAGAAGAGUGGAAUUCCACGUGUAGCGGUGAAAUGCGUAGAGAUGUGGAGGAACACCAGUGGCGAAGGCGACUCUCUGGGACAACACUGACGCUGAAGCACGAAAGCGUGGGGAGCAAACAGG
rnacentral:rRNA from 1 species